GACGAACGCUGGCGGCGUGCUUAACACAUGCAAGUCGAACGAAGUGGCGAACGGGUGAGUAACGCGUAAUCAACCUGCCCAUCAGCGGGGGACAACAGUUGGAAACGACUGCUAAUACCGCAUACUGAAGGAGGGGAUUGCGUGUGAUUAGGUAGUUGGAGGGGUAAGGCCCCACCAAGGCGAUGAUCAGUAGCCGGUCUGAGAGGCUGAACGGCUACAUUGGGACUGAGACACGGCCCAGACUCCUACGGGAGGCAGCAGUGGGGAAUCUUCCGAAAUGGACGAAAGUCUGACGGAGCAACGCCGCGUGAGUGAUGACGGCCUUCGGGUUGUAAAGCUCUGUUAAUCGGGACGCGGUACCGGAAUAGAAAGCCACGGCUAACUACGUGCCAGUAGCCGCGGUAAUUC
rnacentral:rRNA from 1 species